UUUAAAUAAGACCUAAUUAUAAUUGAUAUGUUGAAACUAAAUAAAAUGCUGCUCAGGUAUGUUUUCUACGUUGGCUUCUCUCUUAUUUCGAUCCGCAGCAGAGCUUUUUAUUUCGUUAAGUUUUAUGAUGAUUAGAAUUCUGCAUUUUACAAUUGUUUAGCUAGAUCGACUUUAUUUAUAAUUGCGAUUUUCAAAUACAGUAAUAAUAUUAAAAAAGAGCUCAGACUAUCACACACAAGUCUAAAGUAAAUAUUUUAAGAGAAUGGCGGUUCAUUAAUAAAUAAUUUAGACCAUAAAAGAAGUUUUCAAUCGUUGGCGGAGGCAAUUUUGAAUGGAAUUUUAUCUCUACUAUCAUCGUUCUUUUGCUAAAUGUUUGGUUAAGGAUCUACGUUUAUUCUAUCAUUGUAAAUGUGCCUGAACGAACGGCUGAUUGUUUAUCAUCAUAUAACUAAAACAUUACAAAAACAAUAACCUAUUAUUAUAGUAGUAAAGAAAUGCGAGAAAUAGUUCUUAAUUAUAUUUUUCAUGUUAGUUGUGUGAUAACACAGCAUUUACUUCUGAGUUCGGAGACUCUUCAACGACGUUUCAUAUAAGUAAUCCGCGUAUGAACUUUUGACAAUAAAUAUUGCUAUUAGUCCUUUAUCAAAUACAAUUCCAGAUGAUAACCGUAUACAGACGCGGUUAAUUAAAUGGUUAGAUAAAACUGCGAGUUACCCGAAUUCAUAAUUGACUGGCUGUCACGUCGAUCAAUACUCACAACUGCAAUGUGCUAUUGUAUUGAAAUGAAUAAAAUUACUUUACUGUUUAUUGUGAUGAUCAUCGUGACUAAAGCAUUUGAGGAGCCACAGAUUUACGAUGCAGCGAAACAGCACAAUUCGGCUGCAGAUUUUUCUGGGAUAAUGCAGAACAUUAUGAACACAUCCGUGGUUACCAUCAUAGUGUGUAUGUUCAUCAUUGCCUCCUUUGCUUUUCUUGUUAAAAUAUAUUAAUAGCUCAAAAUAGAAAUAUCUGAUGAAAAUAUUUCGUUACUACAAUAGCUAACACCCAUAAUUUUAUAGAAAAUGAUCAGAUUGCGGAACGAUAUGUUGACGAGCGUAGAAAUAGAGGUCAUAUAAAACUAGGUAAAUUUAUUGAAUGCAUUAAAGGAACCAGCCUGCUGAAGAGGGCCAUUAUUUUUUUUGUUCGACUAUGUUUGUCAGUAUCUUUAGUCAGUUAUUUUUUGCCUUAUUAUCUACUUACAUCUAUUAAAAGCACAGUAAGAUUGUAGAUUUAUAUUUCUGGUCAUAGAAUAGUGUUCCACAAUCCGUAUAUGUCUAAAUGGAUUAUAGCCCACAAGGACUCAACCAGUAAGAAGUUUAAAAGUCAGAAAAAUGUAUAUCCGUUCUUUGAUUGAAUAAAUGUUUUGAUUUUGAUA